UAGGGAAUCUUCCACAAUGGGCGCAGGCCUGAUGGAGCAACACCGCGUGAGUGAAGAAGGGUUUCGGCUCGUAAAGCUCUGUUGUUAAAGAAGAACACGUAUGAGAGUAACUGUUCAUACGUUGACGGUAUUUAACCAGAAAGUCACGGCUAACUACGUGCCAGCAGCCGCGGUAAUACGUAGGUGGCAAGCGUUAUCCGGAUUUAUUGGGCGUAAAGAGAGUGCAGGCGGUUUUCUAAGUCUGAUGUGAAAGCCUUCGGCUUAACCGGAGAAGUGCAUCGGAAACUGGAUAACUUGAGUGCAGAAGAGGGUAGUGGAACUCCAUGUGUAGCGAUGGAAUGCGUAGAUAUAUGGAAGAACACCAGUGGCGAAGGCGGCUACCUGGUCUGCAACUGACGCUGAGACUCGAAAGCAUGGGUAGCGAACAGGAUUAGAUACCCUGGUAGUCCAUACCGUAAACGAUGAGUGCUAGGUGUUGGAGGGUUUCCGCCCUUCAGUGCCGGAGCUAGCGCAUUAAGCACUCCGCCUGGGGAGUACGACCGCAAGGUUG
rnacentral:rRNA from 1 species